CUUGACCUCAAAUCAGGUAGGAUUACCCGCUGAACUUAACCAUA
rnacentral:rRNA from 1 species